UAGGGAAUCUCUCUNGCAAUGGACGGAAGUCUGACCGAGCAACGCCGCGUGAGUGAAGAAGGUUUUCGGAUCGUAAAGCUCUGUUGUAAGAGAAGAACGAGUGUGAGAGUGGAAAGUUCACACUGUGACGGUAUCUUACCAGAAAGGGACGGCUAACUACGUGCCAGCAGCCGCGGUAAUACGUAGGUCCCGAGCGUUGUCCGGAUUUAUUGGGCGUAAAGCGAGCGCAGGCGGUUAGAUAAGUCUGAAGUUAAAGGCUGUGGCUUAACCAUAGUACGCUUUGGAAACUGUUUAACUUGAGUGCAAGAGGGGAGAGUGGAAUUCCAUGUGUAGCGGUGAAAUGCGUAGAUAUAUGGAGGAACACCGGUGGCGAAAGCGGCUCUCUGGCUUGUAACUGACGCUGAGGCUCGAAAGCGUGGGGAGCAAACAGGAUUAGAUACCCUGGUAGUCCACGCCGUAAACGAUGAGUGCUAGGUGUUAGACCCUUUCCGGGGUUUAGUGCCGCAGCUAACGCAUUAAGCACUCCGCCUGGGGAGUACGACCGCAAGGUUG
rnacentral:rRNA from 1 species